GCUGGACCUCCCCUCAUGUCUCCUCCCCAAGAGCUUGACUACAUCGGCCUCUCCGACGCCUCCUCCGCCGUUGUUGACGGUGGCGGUGGCGGCUCCGCCGCCGCCCGGGCUUCGCUCAACCUCAAGGAGACCGAGCUCCGCCUCGGCCCGCCGGGCUCUGAGUCCCCUGACCGCAGCGACGGCAGGACGCCGUUGACUCUCACGCUUGACCUCCUCCAGCCGAAGUCCGGCGCCAAGCGCGGCUUCUCCCUCGCUAGCGGAUCCGAUGCUGCCGCCGGCGGAGCUCCGGCCGGCGCCGCCGCUACGACCCCCAAAGCAGCCCCAGCUCCGCCGAAGUCUCAGAUCCCCUCUGGUAGGGCUGAUCCAGGGAUUGCCCCUGCUGCGAAGGCACAGGUGGUUGGGUGGCCGCCUAUCAGGAGCUACCGUAAGAACACCAUGGCGACGGACCCGGUGAAAAAAGAAGAGGCUGAGGUGAAGCAAGGGACAGAGGUGGUUGGGUGGCCACCGAUCCGGAGCUACCGGAAGAACACGAUGGCGACGAACCCGGUGAAAAUAGAAGAGGCUGAAGUCAAGCAAGGGGCGGGUUGUUUGUAUGUCAAGGUUAGCAUGGACGGAGCUCCGUAUCUGAGGAAAGUUGAUCUGAAGACUUACUGCAAUUACAAGGAGCUGUCUAUGGCGUUGGAGAAGAUGUUCAGUGGAUUCACCAUUGGCCAAUGUGGUGGUCAAGGGGUGCCUGGUAGAGAUGGGGUGAACGAGAUUAGAUUGAUGGAUCUUCUCAGCGGGUCUGAAUAUGUCCUUACUUAUGAAGAUAAGGAUGGUGAUUGGAUGCUUGUUGGUGAUGUACC
rnacentral:misc_RNA from 1 species